rnacentral:rRNA from 1 species
GAUGAGCGCUGGCGGCAUGCCUAACACAUGCAAGUCGAUCGGUAAGGCUCUUCGGAGUACACGAGAGGCGGACGGCUGAGUAACGCGUAGAAACACACCCUGCAGUGAGGGAUAAGACACCGAAAGGUGUUCUAAUACCGCAUACGGUCUUCGGAUUAAAGCAUUUAUGCGCUGAAGGAGUGGCCUGCGUCAUAUUAGAUAGUUGGUGAGGUAAUGGCUCACCAAGUCGAUGAUGUGUAGCUGGUCUGAGAGGAUGAUCAGCCAGACUGGAACUGAGACACGGUCCAGACUCCUACGGGAGGCAGCAGUGAGGAAUAUUUCACAAUGAGCGAAAGCUUGAUGGAGCAAUGCCGCGUGCAGGAUGAAGGCCCUCGGGUUGUAAACUGCUUUUAUAAGAGAAGAUUAUGACGGUAACUUAUGAAUAAGGGACGGCUAACUACGUG